UACGUAGGGGGCUAGCGUUGUCCGGAAUCAUUGGGCGUAAAGCGCGUGUAGGCGGCUGGGUAAGUCCGCUCUGAAAGCCCGGGGCUCAACCCCGGGAGGCGGGUGGAUACUGCUCAGCUCGAGUCCGGAAGAGGAGUGUGGAAUUCCUGGUGUAGCGGUGAAAUGCGCAGAUAUCAGGAAGAACACCGGAGGCGAAGGCGGAUUGCUGGGCCGACACUGACGCUGAGGCGCGAAAGCCAGGGGAGCAAACGGG
rnacentral:rRNA from 1 species